UUUAAGAUUUAAAACUGCAUAGGAAAAAAUUCUUUUACUUUUAUAUUAGUAUAAGAAACCAAAUAUGACCAUUGCAUAAUAAAAUCUGUUCUGAUCGCUUAAAAUCAUACAUCACUUAGAGAGUCGCCACAAUAAUUUUGCAUCAACUUGAGGCAGCAUCAUUAGGCAGCCCAGAUUAAUCCUGUCAUAAAGUUCUUGGCUUUUGAAUUCCUUUUAAACCCUCUAGUACUUAUGUCUGUCAUAGUCAGUCAACACUUUUGGUGCACUGAGUAUUAUGCUACAUGACAGUAAAAAAAAAUAACAAAUAAAUAAAUAAAUAAAAACUGGCAUCAAUGUGCAAUUACACUGCAGUGGUAGUACUCAAUUUCCACUCCUAAAUGGAUCCUGUCAGCAAAAUACUGCAUCAUGCAUGGAUAUUGAGCAGUUCUUCACUGAAGUCUCUUACAAACUAUUUGAGAUGGAUCAUGAAAAGCAGUGAUAUGUUAUCUUUGGAACUGAAGUGGAAGAGGACUGGUGAAAACUCAAUAGUUUCCAAUGAGCUUAUUUAGGUAGACAGGCUAGUUUUCUAGGGAGAGGUUGUCCACAAAAGGGGAUCAUGUACUCAAGUGAGGUGAUAAUAGGACUGUGUUAUCUUGGAAACUCCCCCAGCCACAGUGUAUAUCCUGUACAUAGCCAGGCCCCUACCCCUGCCUGCUCACUCCCAGUGGCACCAAAGCCCUAGUCACAGCUGAGGCCUGUGAUGCAUCAUGCAGUGUCUAAGAUGAAUAUGGAGUUAUGAGAUAAAUAUUUUGCUGAUUCUACAAAGUUUGUAACCUAAACAGCAAUUAGAGAAAAAAUGAAGAAUAGGAGCACCGAGGGGGCAGCACGGGCCAAGCAAGAGUCAUAUAUCACAGCAGACACUAUAAAUAAAAUUAGCCUGUGCCACUAAUGGGCUGGGGCCAUCCAAAAGACACCUCAAGACAGCCUAUCGACACUACAGGCAACAUAAAAAAAACCAUCACAGGGCAAGUAAAUGUGUAUCAGUGGAAAAUGACGAACGAGAGUGGAGGGUUGACAUAAGAAAAUGAUAGCGACCACCCCACAUUAACUAAACAGAUAAUUCUGUAGCCAUUAAAAAAGCAACCUUUCUCCAAUAAAUCUGUUGCCCGAAUCUAUAAAAAAAAAAAA